rnacentral:sRNA from 1 species
CUUUCCCGGAGGCGUUCCCACGAACGUUGCAUCCGUUCGAAAUGCGCUCCAAGAUAUGACUCGUCUUUGAGACUUUGUUGGUUCCUUUUUUUUUGUUACAUUUUUUGUUUCAUUUUUAAUGGUUUUCAAUAUUCGGCCCCGGAGUUCCCGAUAUCCCCCGAUCAUGAUGUCACGCCCCAGCUAUCAAAAUUUAUCACUGCAAGAUCUGGCAAACCAUGACUUAACACAACUCAGCCGUGGUGGCCACCACGCCCGGUGCAGUCGAAUUCGUUAGGCACAACGAAUAGGAGGAAUAAACAGACGAGAGGCUGACUAUAUCGCGCCAUCAUCAAAAGACACCUGCCAUGCAACACGCAGCGCACUUGGCCAGCAAGCAACUAUGUGGGAUCACAGGAGUCAUCGAUGAUCAAUAGAACUCUUCUAAUAGGCUUGUUUUUGUAGUCAUUAUUGCAGUAGAACAUUUCUUCAAAUGCGGCCCUCAGCUUGCUGCCCCUGCGGGUAGACUUCAAGUUAGGUUGUACCUGUUUAUCAUUGAGCUACAAGCACCGCCAAAAAAAAAAAAAAACCUAUUGAGUUUGAAGCCUACAUUUAUUAACUAGAUCAAUUGAUUUAGAUCACAGCAGAUGUCUUGAAGCUACUUGGAUCAGCGGGCUACGCGGUGAUGUAGUUAAGUGAGACAGUAAACUAACUAUUGGCAAUCUCUAAACAAGAUACAUACAUUUAAAGCACAAAUAUUCUUUUUUCUUGAAUUGGGGC